CUGCCAAGGGCAUGGCUGGGUAGCUGUGUACGGAAUGGAUAAGCGCUGAAAGCAUCUAAGCGCGAAGCCAACUUCAAGAUAAGAUUUCCCACCGCAAGGGUAAGACCCCAGAAAGACUAUCUGGUUGAUAGGUCGAAGGUGUAAGUGCAGCAAUGUAUUUAGCUUAUCGAUACUAAUAGGUCGAGGACUUGACCAA
rnacentral:rRNA from 1 species